AUUGCGUUAUGGAAUCCCUCUACAAAAAAACAAAUGUAUUUUAUCCAUAGCUCACAUAUGUUAUCUUCAUGUUUAUUAUUAUUAUUAUAGUUGAAUAGGGGCUUUAGUUGAAUAGUUAAUAGAACAGAAAUUGUAACUGAUUUCCGCCAUUGAUAUUGACUCAAGCCACAACUAAUAGCCGACGUCACCUGAAUGUUAAACCUGUAUACACACAAAAACAAUAUGCCGAGGGUUUUGUCACGGCUUGGUAAAUGUAUCAUCUUAAAAGCUUUGAGGAACACACACACAGAAACACAUAGACAACACACACACACACACACACACCACAGACAACAAACACACACUCACACUGGCAUACCCGCUCACUUCAAACAGAUUUGAAUAUUGAUUUAGAUUUAUCAACAGAGACAGACCCACUUUGAUGAACGGAAAUCGUAGUGGAACACGCCCUCUAGAUUUGUUUUCUACCAAACUUCAGUUCCGGACUCAUCAUAUCUGCAUCUCAACUGCAUCUCAACUGGAGCAAAGUUUUCAACGUGUGAUCUAAUUUAUGACCGGGAUUUCUUCAGUCUACAGCCGCUCUCUGUCCAUGAGGGAUGGCGCAUGACAAGGGCUUCUGCAACAAACACAUGGAUUACAUUUACUACACUCUCCUCCAGACCAUCAAUAAGUCAAGACCCGUUGGAAAUCCAACAAGGACAAAUAAUACAAAGAUAAAAAUACCUCUCUACCACCCCCAAGAUGAAGCCAGACUGAUACUGUGCUUAUGUUCAUUAGCUCACUGUAAAAUAAGCUGUGGCGUGCCACAGGCAAGUGUGCUUGGGCUUCUGUUAUUCCUGCUGUACAUUAAAGAUAUCAAGGAUGCUUGCUCAAUGUCACCCGUGUCUUUAUGCAGAUGACUCUGCACUCCUGGUGUUUCACAUAAACCAAACCACUCUGGAGAGUAUACUGAGUGCAGAGCUCACUAACAUCAACAAGCUGUCUCCGCACCUCGGCAAAACAGAAGGAAUUCUGUUUGGGUCCAAAAUGAAACUAAGCGAGUCCUCAGACAUCAGGGUACAGCUAGCAGAACAGGUACUCACAGCCAGAACAGCAGUUCAUUACUUAGGAUGUACACUAGAUGGCAACCUGGCAGGGGAGGAGUAUGGCUACUAAGGUACUAGGUAAAGUGCUAGUGUUAAAGGACAUCACGCUGCUUUACACUGCUAGAGUAAGGGACAUCACGCUGCUUGCUUAGUGUCGCGAGUGCCACUUCCUCCUGAUUCGGCUCACACCGAGGCUUGAACCCAGGACCUGAAGCGUCUUACCAGUCGGUGACACGGAAAAGCUAGCUAUUCGUUGGUGCAAGUGGGGAAUCUUCAGGCUGAGGAGUAUGUGCUACACCAGGACCAAAUUCUUGGCUAUGUAGUCUAAGCUGUUGGAAAAAGAUUCAAAGAAAGUGCUAGUGUGCUCAUCCAAUGUCCUUUUUGAUGCUAGCACCUCCUGGUUUGAAGGCUUAAUAAUCUACUAAAAAGCAAGCUCAGGAUAUCCCAGAACAAGUUGAAUCUGAGCCCACCUACAGUACUCGUAUUGGUACCAGACAGUUUCAGGAGCUCAACUGGCUGCCCUCUAAGUCAAGGGUCACACAGACCAGACUUAGUCAGGUUCAUAGGAUCAUUCAUGAAGCAGCUCCUAGGCAUUUUGUCUCACUUCCUUCCCCAUUUUAGAGACUCAUACAAACCCAACAAUAGAGCUAGCUAACGUGUUGUGUGUAGAAGCCUGGCAGGGAAAGGUACUUUUUUAUAUUCAGGAGCCUCUGAGUGGAAUAGUCUGUUAAAACUAUUCCUACUCUGAGUAGCUUAAAAAGGAAGGUGAAAUGCUGGUUAAUGGAUAGGGUGCCUCUGUGAGCAAUCCAUCCUAGCCCAAUGAUGAUGUCCAAGUAGCCUUCUUUUGUCUAUAGUGUGUGUAUGUUGUUGUGCUCUCAUAUGACUAAGUAACCAUAUUGACCUGCCAUUUUAGCUUCUGUUUUUUUAUUUUGCCACAUAUGCCAUAUUUGACAAAUGCUAUCUUGAAAGAGGACCACAAUUGAAAUAGGUUGUAGACUUUUUUGUGUUUAUCUUCAACGAUUCUUAAUCAUGUGCAUCAAUUUGAACAUGUACUUUGUUUUUUAAAUAUCCAAUAAACAUAAUAAUAAAAAAGAACAGCAAUGCCUCAAGAUUAGCAUUGAAUGUAACUUAUGAAUAUUAUGAUUUUUAAAAUGAAUGUAUGUAAUAUCAAGAUGUAUCGUUGAUAUUACAUGUAUUUGAUUUAAAUCAUGUCCCUUGCAUUUAAAGUCAGUGUUUGUGUUUUUCACCAAGCGAUGAGCCAGCCCCAGCAGUGUGGAAAUAAAGAUAUCUAUGUUGAUGUAACUGUCAAGCAGCCUCUUUCUCUGCUCCCAGACAUCCUGUGGACCUGGG
ensembl:lncRNA